AUGGUGUCCGAUAGUGUCAAUCUUGGUGCUGGUUAUGCUGCUAGUCAUGGUUCCUCUUCCUUACCUGAAACACAACCUGAUGUUACCCCUGACAGUGUUAGCAAGAAAAGGAACAAGAGGUCAAAGGCAUGGGCACACUUCACAAUUCAGAACGAUGAUCCAGAUCAUGCAAACUGCAACUAUUGUAGUGCUAUAUUAGGCUGCAAAUCCACAUCGGCAGGUACUGCUUCUUUAGUAAACCAUUUGAAGAUUUGCAAAAAGAAUCCUGCCCACAUCGGUAGCAAUCAGACCGAGCUUACCUACCAAGUUUGUGAUGAUGGCAAUUCUGUGGUUCCUUGGCAAUACAAUGAGAAAGAAGUUAGAGAAGCAUUUGCUCGCAUGAUAGUGAUAGAUGAGCUUCCGUUCAUAUUUGCAGAGAAAGAAGGAUUUAGGUUCUUCAUGUCUAAAGCUUGCCCUAGGUUCAAUGUGCCAUCUAGGACCACUAUGUAUAGAGAUAUCAUUGCUCUUUAUGAAACUGAGAAAGCUAUGCUUAGAAAGUAUUUCAUCGAUUCACGUCAAACUGUUUGCCUCACCACUGAUACAUGGACAUCAAAAAGACAGCAAAGCUACAUGGUUCUUACUGCACAUUUCAUCGAUUCUUCAUGGAACCUUAGGAAAAAAAUUAUUAGCUUUGUCUUGGUAGAUGGACACAAAGGGGACGAUAUUGGGAAAUCGUUAGAAAAAUUACUGAUUGAGUGGGGCAUUGAACGAGUGUGCACUAUUACAGUAGAUAAUGCGAGUUCUAAUGACACCUGCUUAGCCUACAUGAAGAGAUCUUUGACUAAUAGGGGCUGCACACAUGCAAGAAGUCAAUAUCUUCACAUGAGGUGUGUGGCUCACAUUGUUAAUCUUGUGGUUCAAGAUGGGCUAAAGAUAAUGUGCCAUCCUGUAAACAGAAUUCGCCAUGCUAUCAAGUUUGUUAGAGCCUCCCCAACUAGACUGGAUGUAUUUAAGAAGUGUGUGCAGCUAAGCAAGGUAGCGAGCAAAGGUUUGAUUAAUAUUGAUGUGGCUACUAGAUGGAACUCUACAUUUGUAAUGCUAGACAAUGUUGAGAAAUUUGAGAGGGCAUUUGAGCAAUAUGCACUUCAUGAUCCCAACUACAAGACCGAGUUAGAAAAAACUGGUCCAGAACCUAAGCCCGAUGCUCUUGACCAACGGGGUCCUCCAACUCAAAGUGAUUGGGUAUAUGUUCGUGAGUUCAAACAAUUCCUCCAACACUUCUAUGACCUCACGAAUAAGGUUUCUGGCACCAAGUAUGUUACAACCAACACCUUCUUGGAAGAGAUUGUUGAUGUUAACUUUUUGUUGGGUGAAUGGAGUGAUCAUGUGAUCUGUGGUGAUGAUGAAAUAUUUAAAUGCAUGGCUCUCAAGAUGAAAGCGAAGUAUGAGAAGUAUUGGGGUGAUCCUGAAAAGAUGAACAAAUAUAUAUUCAUUGCCGCCAUCCUUGAUCCUAGGACCAAGGAAUCUCAUUUCUUUAAGGACAUGAUUGAAGACACCUAUGGUUGUAUAAUAGGUAACAUAAUCUUGACUUCUUCACACAACGAAUUUGUCUCUCUUUUUGGAGAAUACAAAGAAUUGUAUGGAACCAGUUCUACUAGUGAAUUAGCAUCACAAGCUCGUGCUAGUGAAAAUGCUUCUGAAAAUUCUCUUAUGAGAUCACGCUACAACAAGAAGAGAAUGAGAUCUUGUGGAGAGGGUAGCACUAGCUCAAAUAUGAGAACUGAAUUAGACAAGUACCUAGCUGAGGAUACCGAAGAGUUGACUGCAGAAUUUGACCUUCUUGAGUGGUGGAAGUUGAAUGCUGCUCGCUUUCCUGUCCUGUCAAAAAUGGCUCAUGAUAUACUAGCAAUCCCCAUCUCAACGGUUGCUUCUGAAUCAGCUUUUAGCACUAGUGGCCGUAUUCUUGAUGACUUCAGAAGCUCUUUGACACCAGUGACACUCCAAGCGUUGAUAUGUACGCAAGAUUGGUUGCGUAGUAAGCCUAUCAAUGUUGAACUCGAUCUUGCUGAGUUGACCAAACUGGAGGAAGGUGUGGGAGCCCUUCGAUUGGACGAUAAUGGUGUAAUAUCGAUUGAUUGA
rnacentral:rRNA from 1 species